rnacentral:rRNA from 3 species
GAAAACGACUGCUAAGACUGGAUAGGAAAUAAAAAGGCAUCUUUUUAUUUUUAAAAGACCUAGCAAUAGGUAUGCUUAGGGAAGAGCUUGCGUCACAUUAGUUAGUUGGUGGGGUAAUGGCCUACCAAGACGAUGAUGUGUAGCCGGGCUGAGAGGUCGAACGGCCACAUUGGGACUGAGACACGGCCCAAACUCCUACGGGAGGCAGCAGUAAGGAAUUUUCGGCAAUGGAGGAAACUCUGACCGAGCAAUGCCGCGUGAACGAUGAAGUAUUUCGGUACGUAAAGUUCUUUUAUUAGGGAAGAAAAGAUGGUGGAAAAACCAUUAUGACGGUACCUAAUGAAUAAGCCCCGGCUAACUAUGUGCCAGCAGCCGCGGUAAUACAUAGGGGGCAAGCGUUAUCCGGAAUUAUUGGGCGUAAAGGGUGCGUAGGCGGUUAAAUAAGUUUAUGGUCUAAGUGCAACGCUCAACGUUGUGAUGCUAUAAAAACUGUUUAGCUAGAGUUGGAUAGAGGCAAGUGGAAUUCCGUGUGUAGUGGUAAAAUGCGUAAAUAUACGGAGGAACACCAGAAGCGAAGGCGGCUUGCUGGGUCUUAACUGACGCUGAGGCACGAAAGCGUGGGGAGCAAACAGGAUUAGAUACCCUGGUAGUCCACGCCCUAAACGAUGAGUACUAAACGUUGGAUAAAACCAGUGUUGAAGUUAACACAUUAAGUACUCCGCCUGAGUAGUACGUACGCAAGUAUGAAACUUAAAGGAAUUGACGGGACUCCGCACAAGCGGUGGAUCAUGUUGUUUAAUUCGAAGGUACCCGAAAAACCUCACCAGGUCUUGACAUGCUUUUGCAAAGCUGUAGAAAUACAGUGGAGGUUAUCAGAAGCACAGGUGGUGCAUGGUUGUCGUCAGCUCGUGUCGUGAGAUGUUGGGUUAAGUCCCGCAACGAGCGCAACCCUUGUUGUUAAUUGCCAUCAUUAAGUUGGGGACUUUAGCAAGACUGCCAAUGAUAAAUUGGAGGAAGGUGGGGACGACGUCAAAUCAUCAUGCCCCUUAUGACCUGGGCUACAAACGUGAUACAAUGGCUGUUACAAAGGGUAGCUAAAGCGUAAGCUUCUGGCGAAUCUCAAAAAAGCAGUCUCAGUUCGGAUUGAAGUCUGCAACUCGACUUCAUGAAGUUGGAAUCGCUAGUAAUCGCGAAUCAGCAUGUCGCGGUGAAUACGUUCUCGGGGUUUGUACACACCGCCCGUCA